rnacentral:tRNA from 1 species
GACGAGGUGGCCGAGCGGUCUAAGGCGCUAGAUUCAGGGCUACCUGGAGUAAUUCAGGGAGAAACUUGUAGUCCGUAAGGGCGUAGGUUCAAAUCCCAUCCUCGUCA